CCGCGAUUCUUUAAAGUCGAUUUUUUAAGCUACAAAGUGUGCCAUCUAUGACCUUUGUUUGUCCCAUCUCACGGCGCGGUCAAAUUGAUGGCCGUGACGUCACUGGUUGUACUCGCGCGUUCAUUCCAAAGGUGAAUUUGUCAAUUUGUUAUGGCCGAGACUCAAAUCAGCCGAGCGAAAGGGAAAUCUCUUGGAAAGUAUUGUGUUGCAGGCGGACAUGGAAAAGUCAGUUGCAAAAACAAUUCGAAAACAGAAGGAAUUUCGAUGCAUCGCUUCCCUAGCGAUAGUUCUGUCCGACCAAAAUGGGCUUGUUUUGUCCAAAGACAUCGUCCGCAAUGACAGCCAUCAAGCACUUCGGUGCUUUGCUCAGCACAUUUCAAGGUCACAGAUUUUGAACAACGGCUUGAUUUUAAUCCACAAGAACCGGAAAAUUCACGACUAAGAGAUGGCUGAAGAAAGGCGCGAUACCUAGUCUAGAUUGCGUUGUUUCAGGGCCACAAGUUCAGGCGAUUUCAGCUCGUGAAAGAAGACAGGUAAAUAUAUGCAUAAAUUGUUCGUUUGCGGCAUUUUGAAGCUGUUACAUAUUCAUCCUUGACAUAAUCUAAAUAUUCAAUACUCUUCACGGCAAAAACCAGAUUGAGAUAACUCUAUAAAGACCCGCUUACACUAUGUAUAAUAGUAAUAUUUGUUGCUAUAAACUUGGAAUUCACACUCGGACAUCUAAUAGUUCGCCACCAAAGGCAAGUGAACAACAUGAAAUAAAAACUUUGUAAGGCAAGGCUCUCAUGCUAAAUUUUCAUAGUUUAAUAUGUAGAUGUCAAUAUGAAAGACAUAAAAUAUUUGGAAUGUGUUGUUAAACUGAGUUUGCCUUCAAGUGGUAUCACUGGUAUGGUUUUAACAGUUUAAAUACAGGUCAAUCGAAGCCAAUUUCUAUGUUUAUUUACUUCUUCAAAGUCACUACUUCAUGUUAUGUGUAUGUAAUGAUCUAUUUUGAUUGGUCUCUAGCCAAUUGGUCUCUAUUGGCUUUAGCCAGGUACAGUAUCUCUGGUGUAAACACACCAUGUUGGGUGCCAGUUAGGUAAUUCUCAAGCUGUGUUUACACUACGAGCCUAAGCCUGGCCUACCUUUGGACUAGUUUUUUGUGGUGUAAAUGCACCUCGGCCUGGCCUAGACCAGGAAAUCUGGGCCCAUUAGGAAAGGUGGCCCAGAUUUCUUGGUCUAGUGGCGGUCGAAGUGCAUGGUCUAGUGGUCUAGUGGCGGCGAAAGUCGACACUACCAAAUCUAGUCCAAACCUAGGCCAGGCUUAGGCUCGUAGUGUAAAUACAGCUUCAGAUGAAGACAAGUCUUGGCAAAAAUUUUUUUUAACCCAUUAAGCUUUUCCAUUGACAAGACUCAGGCUCGGUGAUUGUCGGGGAAUAUUCACCUCGACUUUGUCUCUGCGAAUAUUCCCCGAUAAUCGCCUCACCUUUGGCAAACAAUUGUUAACACCAACACAAAUAUUAUCAUAUACAAAGCAGACAACAAAUUACAUUAUUAUUCUUUUGAUAUAACUUAUAUAAUAAUUUGAUGAAUUAUUUUUAGUUGCAGAACAAACAGCAUUAUUGGAGGCAGAAAAGCGGAAAUCAACAGGAAAUCUCCCACUGCCAAAGAGAAAAGCCAGACAAUGUAGCAAGUGCAAGGCACCAAUGAAGGUCACCUGCGAUCACAUUGUCCACACGAUGCUCCACAGACUUGAUCUGUUUACUGUAUAUUUUCAUUGUUUGUAAAUAUUGUAUAUAGUUAAGAGGGUUGUUGUAUAUAUUGUUGAAAUAUAAUAAGUAUGAACAGAAUUAUGCAUCAGUCAGUGUACCCCCUCCCCCAACCCCUCAUAAGCUAGGAAUUGCUGGGAAUUUAAAGCCUGAUUUACAUUUCAGUCAAGGGAUCUCAAAGUGGGCAAUAUGUAAAACUAAUUGUGUAAACGUCCUCUGGUUAAAAAGAUUGAUUU